UAUAAAAGAACCAAAGAGUUGGAGUCAAACACCCGCCAUUUUUAUAGAUGAAGAAACCAACGCCCCCUCAUAUUCACUGUACAUGAACACAACUAGCUGUCUGUAAAGAGCUGUGGAGAUGGCAAGCAGAUGUUCCUGAAAUACUGGUGUAGGAGAACAAAGUCCACAUAAUGUUUUCCUCUUUAACAUUGGCAUUGAUUUACUAUUUACAGUAGUUUG